AGUGAUGUGCAGGGCUUGUUGAGCUUGUAUGAAGCUUCCUAUCUCAGCGUUCAAGGAGAAGAUAUUCUAGAUGAAGCUCUUGAAUUCACCAAAACUCACCUAACAAAGGCAACCCAAUUUGGUUCACCUCUUGCUGACCAAGUUAGCUAUGCUUUAAGGUGGCCUACACGCAGAGGGUUACCAAAGAAAGAGUCAAGGGAUUACUUCUCUAUUUACCAGCAAGACGACGCACAUGUUAAACCUUUACUGAAGCUUGCAAAGUUGGAUUAUAAUAUAGUGCAAACAUUGCAUCAAAGAGACAUGAAAAUUAUCACAAAGUAUAAGUUAUUUUAAGAUCUAAUCUCUGUUUAGAUAGGAGCUAAUUUAUUCUAAAGGAUAUGGUUUGCUUAUUCUAAAUUUUAUUAGGUGGUGGAUGGAUUUGGACUUCACAACAAAACUACCUUUUGCUCGAGACAGAGUGAUCGAAUGCUCUUUUUGGGCAUUAGGAACAUUUCCUGAGCCAGAAUAUGUUUUUGCCAGACAAGUAUUGUCCAAAGCUGUAGCUAUGUUGUCUGUUAUGGAUGAUAUCUAUGAUGUGCAUGGUACAAUUGAAGAACUUGAGCUCUUCACCAAAGUAGUUGAGAGGUUUGAUAGAAGCUUAAUUAAUUUCUCGGGCAACAUUUUUUUUUUUGCAGAUUUAGCAUUAGCCCAAGAAUCAAUUGGCUUUAUAAUUAAUUUUUCAGGUGGGAUAUUAGCAUGAAAGAUCAACUUCCUGAUUACAUGAAGGUGUAUUUUGAAGCAUUUUUAGAUUUCUAUGCUGAAAUAGAGGCAGUGACUACGAAGGAAGGAAGGUCAUUCUGCAUUCACUAUGCAAAGGAAGCGGUAAUAAACUUUUGCCUUUUCUUCAUAUAUUUUUAAUCAUUCAUAGAGCAAAUCGUCGGCCUUUGAAUUAAUUUUCAGGUGAAGAAGCAAGUGAGAGCCUAUAUCACUGAGGCAAGAUGGUUCAACAGUGACUAUGUGCCCACACUAGAAGAAUAUAUUUCUAAUGGUGUGAUUAGCUCUACUUACCCUAUCUUGAUAACCUUAUCCUUCUGUGGUAUGGGCGAAGUGGCUUCAAAAGACACUUUUGAUUGGCUUUUCACUGUGCCUAAACUUCUAUAUGCUGCAUCAGGUCUUGCCAGGCUAAUAGAUGACAUCAGGUCCCAUGAGGUAUGGCAACUGAAGGGUUAAACUCUUAUUUUAUUUUCUUUAAACUCUUAUUUUGAAUGAAGACUCAAUAUUUCUCAAUGUUGCAACUGAUAUAUGUGCAGUUUGAGCAAGAAAGGGGACAUGUUGCCUCAGUUGUGGAAUGCUAUAUGAAGGAACAUGGUGUUUCACAGAAGCAGGCAUAUGAUGAGUUGAACAAAAUAAUAACAAAUUUGUGGAAGGAUCUCAACGAGCAGCUCCUUAAAGAAAAUGCACAUCUUCCAAAGCCUGUUCUGAUGUGUAUUCUGAAUAUUGUAAGGGUCAUGGAUGUUGUCUACAAGGAUAUAGAUGGUUAUACAAACUCCGACACUUCACUUAAGGAUAUCCUGGUUACAUUCCUAGUCAACCCAGUUGCUGUUUAAGCCUCAAGCUUCUUCAAUUGCUUCUUCUCUGCACUACAGGAAUAACUAUAUAUUUAUGUAGAACAAAUAAAUGAGUUUCUAUAUGGUCUCAGUAAAAUUUCCAUGGUUUUAUCGAGGAGCAUGUCCUGUCCCUUAUCUACGUGUAAUUUGGCUGCCUUUGAAAAACAAAAAAAAAAGGUGUGAAUUUCAGUUCAAAUAAAUGGGUGUUGCACUUCAAAGUUUGAUAUGUAGUAAAAAUAGUUUUGUUCCAUGGUUAAUGAGCUUCCUGUUUAUUCUCUAUAAAAUUACAAGUUCUAUUUUAUGGCUUUCACUAUAUAUAUUGUAGAGUGUUAUUGUUUAGGGUUUUAUUUUGAGUUUAGGUAGAGACUCUCGUUUUAAAUUUAGACAACUAAUUAAAGAAAAAAACUUGCUUAUCAAAAAAAAAUAUAUACUUAAUUUGUUGAAAAAAUAUAAAAUAGUAUUAUAUUGUUUUAUUUAUUGUCAUUUUAGAGUAUAUUAUUCAAUUUGUAUUAGAGUAAUAUGUUGUGAAUAUUGUUUUAUUUAUUGUUAUUUCGAGAUAAUGUUACUGUCUAAGAGUCAUAGCCCCUGCUUUGCCUGCCAAACAUUUAGUAUAGUUGCAAAAAUAUCUGCACUUUUUCAAUGGAAAAAAUUCAUCGAGCUGGAGGAUGCCCUUCAACAAUUUAAAAAUGUAAAUAACUAAACAAAACAUCAUGGGAAAAAACAAAAGAUUAUUGCCACUAACAGAAUAAAACAAGACAAAAACAUUAUUGCCAACAACAAAAUGCUUAAAGCACUAUGAUCACCAACUACCACUUCAUGUAAAGACUAGGUCCAAUGCACUUUCUUUCUUGGGAAAAUGAGUGAAACGUUUAUGGCAUUAGUUGGACAUUAAAAAAAAAUAUAUCCUAUAUUCAUUAGGAAAUAAUUCAAAUAGCAAUUACCAACCAGCUUUUUCUUCUUAUCUUGAUAAUGUUUUUCGUGAUGAAUAUUUAAGUUGUGUGUUGGACUUCCAUUGAAUUUUAUUAUUUAUUAUUUUUCUUUCUACAGCCUUAUCUUAUUAUAUAUCCACCUUUUCUUCUAUGUCAAAUCCUCUUGAUUUCUUUAUUUGUUAAUACUUAAAUAAUAAAAAAGUGAUGAAUUUGCUUAGGACCGAGAAAUGAGAAAAAACUUUAUAGGAACUGAUUGGAGGUGGUUAAUAUGUCAAUAUAUACAUGUCUAUUCUUUGGUUGCAUAAUAUGUGAUUUAAUUAUGGAUAUCUACUUACAACUAAAGAUUUGAAUUUUGCUAAACAUUAAUAAAUGAAUAAGUUUUAAUGAGCUGUCAUUUGAAAAAUAAUGUUCUUUUACUGAAUUUAACAUAAUUAUUGAAAAAAGCUUGAUUGCAUGAGUACAAAUCUACUUGUACCUGAGGGUUUGUACCUGAGGGUAAGGUAAGGACUGGGGUUGAUGUAAGACAUAUUUUAAACUUCUCGAAACUCUCUUGACAUUCAUCUGUCCAUUCAAAUUUUGCAUUCUUUCGAAGGAGUUUAGUCAAUGGUGUUGCAAUGAUGGAGAAAUCUUGAACAAAGCGACGAUAAUAUCCUGCUAAGUCCAGAAAACUUCUAACCUCUGUAACAUUAGUUGGAGGGUCCCAAUUGACUACUGCUUCAAUCUUCUUAGCAUCAACCAAAACUCCAUCUGCUGAGAUAACAUGUCCCAAGAAAACCACCCGAUCAAGCUAGAACUCACAUUUGCUUAAUUUAGCAUACAGUUGCUUAUUCCUCAAAAUUUGCAGUACUAUCCGUAAAUGCAUCUCAUGCUCUUCCUUGCUACGGGAAUAUACUAAGAUGUCAUCAAUAAAUACAAUAACAAAGCUAUCCAAGUAGGGCUUGAACACCCUAUUCAUGAGAUCCAUAAAAGCAGCGAGUGCAUUAGUUAACCUGAAAGGCAUAAUGAGAAACUCGUAAUGCCCAUAACGAGUUCUAAAGGCUGUCUUAGGUGUUUCGAACAACUUGAUAUUCAAUUGAUGAUACCCAGACCGCAAAUCAAUCUUAGAGGACACCUUAGCACCUUGGAGCUGAUAAAAAAAAAUCAUCAAUGCGGGGUAAAGGAUACUUAUUUCGCACUAUGACUUGAUUCAAUUGUCUAUAGUCAAUACAUAGCCUUAAGGAACCAUCCUUCUUCUUAUGAAACCUUUAUCAAGUAGCUCUUGCAAUUGUGCUUUUAACUCCUUCAAUUCUGCUGGAGCCAUUCUGUAUGGUGCCAUAGAAAUAGGAGCUGUACCUGGAUUUAAAUCAAUAGAGAAUUCAAUCUCUCUAUCUGGAGGCAAUCCGGGAAGCUCUUCAGGUAAUACAUCAGGAAACUCGCUUACUACUAGUAUAUCUUCGAAUUUAGGUCCUUCUAGGCUACUAUUCAUCAUAUAGGCUAAGUACGCUUGACAACCCUUCCGAAGCAUCUUCCUAGUGGUCAUAGCAGAAAUCACAUAAGAAGAAAGUAAACGCCUCUCCCCAAAAAAAGUGAACUUGGAUCCUUCUGGACUAUUAAAUACCACUGAUUUCUCAAAGCAAUCUAUUGUGGCAUGAUGACGGGAUAACCAAUCCAUACCUAGGAUAACAUCCAGAUCUUGUAGAUACAAAGGAAUCAGAUCCACUAACAACUCAUGACAACCCAACUUAACAACAUAAUUCCUAUACAUAUGUUCACAUACAACAGAAUCCCCAACUGGAGUACUCACAGCUAGUCCACAUUCUAAGGGUUUUAAUUCUCUAUCAGCAUGUACAGAGAAUGAUUGAGAUAUGAAAGAGAGAGUGGAACCAGGAUCUAUAAGAAUGUGUACAUCUUUAUAAAAAAUAGUUAACAUACCAGUCACCACCUCUGGAGAUGCUCGUGCCUCCUACUGUGUCAUAGCAAAGACUCUAGCGUGAGUACGAGGUCUACCAAGUUGUAUCAUUGGUCUAGACUGAGAAGAUGGAGUAGCUCCACUGGCUUUCCUUGUGCUAGGCCCAGCUUGUGCUGUAGGUACGCCCUGUGAUGGUGUCAUACCAUAUUUUAGAUUUUGAGGCGCCACUGAUCCUUACUAAGAACCACUGUCUCUAGCUAUCAGCAAUGGACAAUCUUUCUUAAAAUGCCCCGAAGAACCAUAUUCAAAACAACCCUUAUCGAAUUUUCUGCACUCCCCAGCAUGAUAUUUACCACAAGUGACACAUUGAGGCAAAUGUCUCUUCUUUUGUUCAAACCCAAAAUUAUAUCCUUGCCCUUGCCCACGUUUCUGUGCCCCAAAGGAACUACCCACUGGUUGUGCUACUGAACUCUGACUAAACUGUGGUCGAGUAACUUGCUACUCUGUACUGACAAAAAAACCUCUACCACUACCACUAUAUUUAGUUUUGGACUGAAAUGAACUGCUCCCUCUCUUAAUUGGUCUCUCUCUGAACCCCUAUGAAUCCUGCAUAUGCUUUCUACUUGUAAUACCCGGCUAGACCCCGGUGUCGGAAUUCCUACGUUCCGGCGGAUUUUCCGUUGGAAGUCGGGAUUCGAGGAUGUCGGAGCUUGCCCUAAGGGUAUAAGACAGGUUUUUAAGAUGUUUUUAAAAUGUUUUUCUCAUGUUUGCAUGUUUUUGAGUUAAGAAAAUUGAGUUUUGAAAUGAAAAGGCCAAGGGGACAAAAGCCAGGUUCGGCCGCCGAAGGUGAAGUUCGGCCGCCGAAGGUUGCAUGGUUUCGCAUGCACGUUAGGCCGCUGAAGGAAGAGUCGGUUGGUCACUACAAAAGCCCUUUUGCCCGAGACUGGAGUGUUAAACACUCUGUUUUUGGGGUCAAAGGUGGGUUCAAGCUCUUCUUGGUAUGAUUUUUCAUGUUUUCCUCAAAUCUUGCAUGUUUUAACUUGCUUUGAGCUUUGUUUUAGAGUUUUGAGCAAAAGGAAGCAAAGUUGAGCACUUGGAGAUUUUGAUUGAGUUUUCCCCCAUCUCCAAGCUUGGAUCAUCAAUCCUCUAGUUCUUCAAGAGGUAAGCAUGGAUCCUCACCUCCCCUUAUGUUUAAAGUAAGUUUUAAGAAGUUUUAGUGAGUUUAUGGCAUGAUUGGGGGUAUAAGCAUGAGUUUGAGCAUAUGUUGCUCAUAUGCGUUUUGUUGUUGUUUUUGGGGCUUGAACUAGUUUUUAGGCCUCUAUAUGCAUGAGAUAUGUUAUAUGUUAGUUCAGAAGUGUUGGUCUGCCUGUUAUGGGUGUUUGAUAGGAUUUUGGAGGCUGAGAGCAUGAGUUGUGCUCGGAUUCUGCCUUUCUGGAGAAUCCAGGUUCGGCCGCCGAAGCAAGGUUCGGCCGCCGAACCCCUUGUGGAGGCAGUUUCGGCUGCCAAACCUUGCCCCCGAAAGCUAGGCUUUUGGGUGAGAAAGGGACUUUCGGCCGCCGAAAGAGGGCGUUCGGCCGCCGAAAGUGCAUGAGUUUCGUCUCUGGACGAGACUUUCGGCCGCCGAAGGUGCCGCCGAACAUGCAUGAGUUUCGUCUCUGGAGAGGGGUUUCGGCCGCCGAAAGAGCCGCCGAAGGUGCUCUGUCCAGCCUUCUUUUGCCCAUUUUUCCAUGCAUACCUAUGAUGUUUUAAGGGGGUUUAGGGAAGAUAUUAAGAGUUAUGUUUAAGUAAGUUUGGUCCUCAUUUGAGUCCACCUGUGUAGGUGCGGACCCGAGAGACCAAGGAGGCCCACAGAGUUAGAGUUACAGAGACUGCUCAGCAGUUGACAGAGGUGAGUGGAACAGAACUGUAUUUUCAAAGUUAAGAACUGUUUUAGCAUGAUUCAUGCAUCAUUAAUGCCAUGUUUAUGUAGGAUGCUUUGCAUUAGUAUUCACCAAGUUGAUGCAUUGCAUUAUUACUUGUAUAUGUGGAUUGGACCGAGGCGAUCUCAAUAGCCCAUAAGUCUGUCAUUAUUGUAUGACCUGUGUGAGCUCCUUUGGGGCCGGGCAUUUAACUUGGAUAAGUCCUGUGAGAGCCCUUAUAGGGUCGGGCACCAUGAGUAGUUAGUGAAAGACCUGUGUGAGCUCCUUUGGGGGCCGGGCACUGACAGAGGGAGUUUUGGGAUCAUGUCCAAUCCGAGAUGUGAAAUGUUUGUGCAGUGAUGCAUCAUAUGAUAGCAUGUUUUAAAUGUGAUUUUUAGAGAUUCCGCUCACUGGGCUUUAGCAGCUCAUCCCUCUCCCGAACCCCAUUUUUUCAGGGCCUCAGAGAAGAGAAAGAGAAAGAGAAAGCAAGGGUAAAAGGCAUAUGUAAUAGUAUAGAAUAGUGGACAUGAUAAUGAUGUACAGUACAGAGUUUAUGUAAUGUAUAGAAAUGAUGUAGCAGUGUGCUUGGCCCUAGUGUAUGUUUAUCCCUUUGUACAUGAUCCUUUUAUGUAUUGAGAUAAUGUUGUUAUGAUGCGCUAGGCUUGGUGCAUGGUAGUCUUUCUAUCUCUGUAGUUACUGUAUGGUACCAUAGCAGGUAUCACUCUUUGAGUGCAUACAGACAGAGCAUGCAUAGUCCAGGCUUAGUUGAUGAGAAAAGUUUCAAGAAAAGAAAAGUUAGAAAAGCAAAGAAAGAAAAAAGUUUCAAGAAAAGAAAAGUUAGAAAAGCAAAGAAAGAAAAAAAAAAGAGUAAGUAACAGUUUUAAGCUUAAGUAUGAUCAUGUAUGGGAUUUAUCAGGUACACAGAGUUGACAGUAGGCUUACUACGGGUCCCGGCGGCCUUAAGCCGAUCUGGAUCCUAGUGCCGGUGAUGGUCCGGUAAGCGGGCUGUUACACUACUCAUCUUCUGCUCAUACUCUUUCUCUUCUUGCUUAACUUUCUCAAUGUUCAAGGUUGCUUCCACCAACUCUCUGAAAUUAUUACCUCUGAACUAGGUCAUAGAUGAUCUGAUAUUGACAUGUAGACCCUAUCUGAAUCUGUCACAUUAGCUUCCUCAAAAGGCAGUAUGUAACAUCCUCUGGGCCCACAACAGUAGAUAUUGUCCGCUUUGGGAGAGCCCAUGGCCCAUCUUACCCCUCACGGUUUUGUUUCUAAGGGAGAGCCUAAGCCCGUCUUACCCCUUAAAACGCGUCUACUGUGGUCUCUUGGGGCUUGCCCUUAUAAGGCGUCCCCCCUCCUUACCUCUUUCCGAUGUGGGAUAAGGGCAAGCCCCAAGAGACCACAGUAGACGCGUUUUAAGGGGUAAGACGGGCUUAGGCUCUCCCUUAGAAACAAAACCGUGAGGGGUAAGAUGGGCCAUGGGCUCUCCCAAAGCGGACAAUAUCUACUGUUGUGGGCCCAGAGGAUGUUACACAGUAUGUCUGAAACAAAGUAAUAGAGGUCUUCAAACUUGUCAACAUACAUUCUUAUUGAGAGGCUUCCUUCAAACAACCUGAAAAAGGCAUCCUGUUUUCCCUUUCAUUAACUUUCUGAUAAAUACUCUUGGCGAAAUUCGUAUAUAAAUUGAUCCCAAGUCAAUCUGACUCCAUGUCUGUGACGUAUGCCAUCAAACCAACCAUCAGUCUUACCCUGAAGCAAUCCAUAUACAUUAUCUACCUUAUCUGCAUCAGUCAGCUUCAUUAAUUCAAACACUUUUAUCACUUUUUUUAACCAUUUAUUUGCAAUGUCAACAUCAGAAGAACCCUCAAAAUCAUAAGCCCCCAAACGUCUAGCACGAUCCACUAUCUCCCACGGAUCUCUAAGUUUAGCUGUAACAGCUGCUGUAACUACUUGUGCCCCAAAAGCACCCAGGUCUGCAUUUAUCUGAAAAGGAUUGGCUGGUGUUACUGGUGGAACGAGAUGUGGAGCUGCAGGUGCGACAGGAGGUGCAACUGCGGGUGCCGAAGGAGGCGGUGCUGCAGUUGGAUAUGCUUCUGAUUCAACACCAUGAGAAACAGAAUCUCCAUGCCCUUCUCCGCUCUCAGGUAAAACAUGAUCUGCCACCCUUUCUAGAGGUGGAGGUGUAACUAUAGGAUCCCUAUGAGGUCGACCAAUAUCAGCUAAUCUAGCUGUACGAACACCACGAUCUCGACUUCGAUUACCUACUCUGGGCGGCAUUGUCCUACAAACGAAAAUACGAAAAGAAUUAUCAGAAUAUAAUUAACAAUACUAACUCAAGAAAAGUCUACAGAAUCUAUAAAUCUAAGCUCUGAUACCAAAAAUUGUCACACCCAUUCUCUAAUCUGUAGAGACGGAUAUGACUCGAAAAACUGACAGAAUUUCCCUUGAUAUAUAUAUAUAUAUAUAUAUAUAAAUAUGUAUAACCUGCUAUAAUUUUAAAAUAUUAAACAUAAAAGAGAGGACCGAUGGAUGGUCUAGUCAAUUCAUAAUAUAUUUACACCAAACAGAAUAUAUCCAUCACUUGAAUAUACAAUUUAUAUAUUAUCUUCUAAAAUUACAAAAAAAAUUGCAAAGGACUUAGGAUUGGCCUAACCUCCACUAGACUCUGAGUGGACGAAGUGGAAGGAAGCACAAAACUAGAAGUUGAAGACUGCUAGGAGUGGAACAACAAAAAGGAUCUGUAAUAUUAAAAGUAUAAGGGGUGAGUACAAUCUACUCAGUGAGCGGAUAAAUAAAUAACAAAGGGGAAAUUAUAAAGUUUGGGUAUUUAAUAGCACCAAAUACUUAGCUAAAAUAGGUCAGCUGAAUAAAUACAAUUUAAAUCAAUUAAUAUAAAAUAAGCUGAAUAUAAAAUGCUAAGAUUUCACUUCUGGAUAAUGAAUCCAAAAAUUAUGAAUGUGAAAAAAAAAUCCGUAUACACUCAUAACAUGCUCCCUUUAGAUAAUGCUAGCAUCUCAGGUGUGAUAAAAUAAAAUAAUGACAACCUGAUAGCAAUGUUGGCAUCUUGGGCAUCUUGGGCUCUGUGAUGACAAUAUUGGCCCAAGAGCUAAUAAAAUACUGGUCAUACACAUGUGCAGAGCUACCCCAAAGGGUGAUCACCUGACAUACGCCCCAAAGGUUGUCUGUAUAUCAAGCGAUGUCCCAAAGACAGUAUAAAUAUAUACUAAGCUGAAAAUAAAUCAGCUGUCAUCAAUGUAUUAUCUCUUCGGUGCAUAUACAGAGUGUAAUCGGCUAUUUAUUCAGCUAUGUUUUAAAUUCAAUUUUUAUUCAUUCAAGAAAUACAAAUUCAUUUUAUCCUUUCUCAUUUUAAAUAAAUAAAAUAGCAUAUACAUAUAUAAAUAUAUUUAAGAAAAGCAUCAAUAUUAUAUAUUUAUCCACUCACCAAUACUUGGGACAAAAUAACCUUAGAUCGCCGAAGUACCCCUAUUAUCUAUACCGGAAGCUGGGUCCUCCCCUAGAAUUAAGAAGAAAAAUAAUAUAUCAAGUGAUAAGCAAAUAUUCUAGAAUGAAAAUAUAAAACGUAAAAUGCAAAAUUUUAAAUAUAUUUUCAUAUAUAUAUUUUUAAGAAAAAUUCGACAAUAUUUCAGCAUAGUUAGACCUCCCAAAAUUACACAGACUCAAAAAAAUACACAAUAAACUAUAAAUAUUAUUUAGAUCAACCUAUGAAAAUCAUCAAUCUAAAAAAAAUAUAGAAUCUCAUUAAUUGGGUCUAACUAAAACAUAUCCCCUUUUAAUUCUCAGAUCGCAAAAAUCACUAUUUAAUGGUAGAGAAAAUAAAUUAUAUCGUAAUAAUUCAAAUAAAAAGGAUAAAACUCACCUAUCCAAAUAUUAGAGUCUCUGGAAGAAAUUAUUAAAUUUCAAAUCAGGAUAUUUGUUUAAAUUAGGAUCUAGCAAUUUCGGAAAUUUAUGGAUUGAUUGGGUNNNNNNNNNNNNNNNNNNNNNNNNNNNNNNNNNNNNNNNNNNNNNNNNNNNNNNNNNNNNNNNNNNNNNNNNNNNNNNNNNNNNNNNNNNNNNNNNNNNNNNNNNNNNNNNNNNNNNNNNNNNNNNNNNNNNNNNNNNNNNNNNNNNNNNNNNNNNNNNNNNNNNNNNNNNNNNNNNNNNNNNNNNNNNNNNNNNNNNNNNNNNNNNNNNNNNNNNNNNNNNNNNNNNNNNNNNNNNNNNNNNNNNNNNNNNNNNNNNNNNNNNNNNNNNNNNNNNNNNNNNNNNNNNNNNNNNNNNNNNNNNNNNNNNNNNNNNNNNNNNNNNNNNNNNNNNNNNNNNNNNNNNNNNNNNNNNNNNNNNNNNNNNNNNNNNNNNNNNNNNNNNNNNNNNNNNNNNUCAAUAUAUUUUGCUUACUAUUGACUAUGUUUGAAAGUGGGUGGAGGCUAAGACCACUAGAACUAAUUAUUCAAAAGUUGUUUCUAUUUUUUUGAAAACUCAUAUAUUUAUCAGGUUUGGAGUUCCACGAUUACUAGUGAGUGAUCGAGGAACCCACUUUUGCAAUAAGGUGAUCGAAUCGUUGUUGAGAAAAUAUGGAAUAACUCAUCGUACAUCUACAGCAUACCAUCCAUAGACAAACAAUCAAACGGAGAUUUCUAACAGGAAAAUUAAAUCGAUCCUAGAGAAAACUGUCAAUAUUAAUAGGAAAGAAUAGAGCAACCGCCUUGAUGAUGCACUAUGGGCUUAUACGACAGCCUAUAAGACCCCAAUAGGCAUGUCACCAUUUCCGCUAGUUUAUGGCAAGCCUUGCCAUUUUCCAGUUGAGCUAGAGCAUAAAGCCUUUUGGGCAAUAAAGCAAUGGAACAACAGCUUAAUAGAGGCAAGUUCUAACCAAAAGUUGCAAUUGCAGGAACUAGAGGAAAUAAGGAAUGAAGCCUACGAGACUGCCAGAAUUUACAAUGAGAAAACCAAAGCUUUUCAUAAUGAAUCAAUUUCUCGGAAAAAUUUUCAAGUACGCCAAAAAGUUUUACUUUUUCAUUCUCGGUUAAAAAUUUUUCCAGGUAAAUUGAGGACACGAUGGAUUGGUCUGUUUGUUGUAAUUAAGACUUUUAACCAUGGAGCCUUGCAAAUUCAAAGUCUUGAAACUAGUAAAACUUUUAAAGUGAAUGGCCAUAGACUCAAACCCUUUUAUAAGGGAUUUAAGCCCAAUGAUGAAGAAAUUAUAGUUUUGGGGUACCACAGAUCGAAACUUGAAGGAAGGAAAGUCCAGUCUAGGACAAUAAAUAAGAGCGCUACUUGGAAAGCAACCCAAUAUUCCAGAUUUGCCCAAACCUGUAGAGUCACAAGUAAGUUUUCUUUUAAUUUUUGUUUUUGUUUUAAUUAAUUUAUUUGCUAUUUUUUGAGCAGAUUAGACCUUCUGUGCAAUUUGAAAAUUUAAAGAACCUUUUUGGAGGUAAGUGAUUACUUUUCUCCAUAAAAAAGGUAAGUUCUGUUCUGCUUCAUCUUAUUUUCUACCUUAAAAAAAUAUAAAAAAAUAAAUAAAUAAAUAAAAGAAAAAUAUAUAUAAAAAAUAAAAAAAAACCUAAUUCUUUCUCUCUCCGAUCAUCUUCAUCUUCUAUCUUUUUCUUUUUUUUCUUUUCUUCCCUACAGAUGGCCCGCGCCGCCUCUUCCCGUGCCACUUCCUCCGCCGCCAAAAGUCACGCUGCCAGCGCUUCGAUCCGGAGCCGCUGCUCGUCGAGCUGCCGCUAGACCAUGACAAAGAUCCCAUCGGACGCAGCAACCAGGCCUCACGCGCAGACCGAACCAGCGGACACUCCAUCAUCGCCGGUCGCGCGUCCCUCCUCACCGGUCGGGCGUCCCUACUCGCCGGUCGCACGUCCCUACUCGCCGAUCGCGCGUCCCUACUCGCCGGUCGCGCGUCCCUCCUUGCUGGUCGCAACCUCUUUCACGCCGACACCGCCGCCUCCAUCGCCGUCCACUUCCUUGCCGGAUGCAACCACGCGCCAGCAUUCGCAGAUGGAAGGUAAGGUUCUUGUCUAUGAUUUAAUGAGUGAUGAUGAGGAAGAAUGGGAGGUGAAAUCCGAAAUGCUAGGCAACUCCAAGGACAAAAAAAUGCAACCCAUAACCAUAAAAUUAAUCAUGGAAGCUUCGGAGGACAGCAACGAGGACACAACCUCGAGUGCCAGUGAAGAAAUCCAGGCCGAUUCUCAUCUAAAGAAAAAGCAGAAAAAAUGGAUGCCCAAUAUAGGUAGCGGGAAGGCUAGAUAUCUACCUGUAGAACAAGACCUUUAUGGCAAUUUUAGCUUUGUCGGCGAUGAUGAGGUCAAAUAUAAAAUCUUUCUCCAUUCUGAUAUUUAUGCUUGUAAGAAAAUAAAUGAUGAUAGGAUCGUAUGAUGAAGUUUAUGCUUUAAUUGAUACAAUUGAAUGGAGAAAAUUUUUUGUUAUAGAUUAUACCUCCUAUGUUGAGCUUUGCCGUGAAUUUUAUGCAAUCUAUGAGUUUUCUUUUGAUGCACAGGAUUUUAAUUUGAAUAUUUCUACAAUUCGUUUUAGGUUGCAAAAUAAAAUGGUCCAAUAUUCAGUCACAAUAUUUAAUUUGUACUUGGGUAUUUAUGAUAAUGAAUAUGUCAAAACUGUUGAAUAUUUAGAUUUAUUAUGUGACUAACCAGCGGAUUGGGAUCCAAUUUUAGCAUACAAAGAUUUAACAGGGAAACCUGAGCUUAAAUUUAGGGGUGGAAAAUCUAAAGCUAAUGAUAUUAAGAGCUCUGGUCUUAGAUACAUUCACAGGUUCCUGUGUUAUACAUUUUCUGGAAAAAAUAAAGAUCCAACCAAACUCACAAAAGAUGAACUCUUUUCUUAUGGUGCAUGUUAAAAAAGAAAAAAGUUAAUUUUAGUUUUUGGUUAUCCUUCCAAUUUAAAAGUAUAUCUGAUGUUGGGUGUAGUAUAUACUUGGAUUUUGUAAUUUCAAUGCUAGCAGUGGGAUUGGGUGCACUUGAUAUUAUACACAUAGCUGAGCCUAUUCUUCCACUUGACAUAUCUGCACUUAAUUCAUGGGCUUACUUUGCCUCAACGAGAGGAAAGAAUUAAAGAAUUUGUAUUUUGUCCUCCAGGUCAUAUCAUUCCACUAUGAUCGCGUUUAUUCGGACAGAGGACCAGUCAGCUUCAGCCUCCUUAGCAGCAUCUCUAGAACCUAGUGAUCAAGCCUGCGUAGCCAGAAUUGAGGCUAAAAUGCACCAUAUGGAUGCCAAAUUGGAUGUCAUUCUCUCUCACUUGGGAUUGCCCAUACCCCAACCACCAGCAGUUUGAGUUCUAUGCGAGUUACUUCUCAGGGAAGUUCUCUUUGACUUACUUUUAUUUUAUUUUGUGAACUUCCCCGUUUGAUUGAAUUUUUUCUACAUUGAGGAAAAUGUGAGCAAGUGUGAGGGGAGAUGUGGUAUGAUAAUAGAAGUGUUUUUUUUGUGAUUAAUGAGAUUGAUUGAUGAUUGAUGAACAGAUAUAUAUCUGCUGUAUUUUGAAAAUUUUGGAAAUUUUUAUUCUUUUUCUGCCAUUUUUCUUUUGGUUUUUGCUAAAUUAUUUCUCAGAUUUAAUUUUUAUUGUAAUACCCGGCUAGAGUCCGGCAUCGGAAUUCUACUUUCCGGUGGAAUUUCGGAUGUCGAAAUCCUCUAGAAGGGUAAGAUUUAUGUUUUUGUAAAGUAUUUGAGUAUGUUUUAAUGUUUUAAGUAUAAAAGGAAAUGAGUUUUUGAAUGAAAAGCACCAAGGAAGAUUUGCCAGGUUCGGCCGCCGAAGGUGAAGUUCGGCCGCCGAACAUGCAUGAGUUUGGAAUCACGUUAGGCCGCCGAAGGUGGUCUAGCCAGCCACCUAUAAAAGGCCAUAGGUCGGUGAAUGGAUAAGAUUUCUUCCAUUUUCACAGGCAGAGGUGAGACCAUGCUCUUCCUUGGGUGAUCUUCAUGUUUUCUUUAAAUCUUUCAAAGUUUUGAUGGGUUUUAUGUUGUUUUGAAACUUUUGAGCAAAUCAACCAAAAGGUUUGAAGUUGGAGACUUUGAGGGAGAGUUUCUCCAUAUCUCCACGUUGGGAUCGUUUAUCUUCUUAUUUGUAAGAGGUAAGUGAAGAUCAUGAACUUCUUUUCAUGUUUUAUGAAGGUUUUAUGGAGUUUUAUGGGUAGAGAUGCAUGUUUAGGUAAAGUUGAGGUUUUGGUUGAUUUGUGGUCAAAGCAUGCUUAUGUGUUUAGUUGUGUUGUUUGUUGGGGUUUUAAGUUAGUUUUGGACCACUUUGUGCCUAUACUUGAGUAUAUACAGUUUGUGGAAUGUUGGGUUGCAUGUUUGAGUGAGGUUGGGUAAGUUUUGCAUGAGGCAGAGCAGGGUUCUGCCUUACUGGAGAACCCAGUUUCGGCCGCCGAAGGAAAGUUCGGCCGCCGAACAUGCUAAGGAGGUGGUUUCAGCUGUCUAAGCUUGCCUAAGCUUGCCCCCGAAAGUUUGGACUUUCGGCUCUGGAGGGGGGUUUCAGCCGCCGAAGGUUAGGGACUUUCGUCUCUGGAGAGGACUUUCGGCAGCCGAAGUGCCGCCGAAAGUGCUUGAGUUUCGUCUCUGGAAGGGACUUUCGGCCGCCGAACCUGCCGCCGAAAGUGCCCUGUCCAGCCUUCUUUUGCAUGUUUUACUUGAUUGUUUUAGGAUAUUUUAGGGGGGUUUUGCCCGUCUAGAGCAAGCUCUAGUAAGGGGUUUCAGAGAUAGUGCAUGCACAGGUUGAGCUUAGGUUCAGAGCAAAAUUUUAUGUUUUACAGAAAAUGUAUGAUCAUGUAUGGGAUUUUACAGGUACACAGAGAGUAUAGCAGGCUUGCUACGGGUCCCGGCGACCUUAAGUCGACCUGGAUCCUAGCAUCGGUAGCGGUUCGAUUUUCGGGUCGUUACAUUUAUGAUUUCUAGUAUUUGCAUAUUUUUUCAAAAAAAAUAAAUAAAUAAAUAAUUUUUUUUUUUACAACUCCUUACUUGCCAUAAGAAAUUGAUAUGUCCUUAAUCAUAAAAUACAAGUUCUUAUGCUAUUUGUAUGCUAGCUUAAAUAGAAUAAGUUGAUCAUUAUUCAUUUUAUUAGUCUUAUUUUUAAGACUUGUUUUGAAAGCUUAUAAAGUAUGGUCCUUGCCUAAAUAGUUGGAUAAUAAAUGCAUGUUCUGUAAAUAAAUUGCUGCCCUUUAUUAAGAAUAACUUUAAAGACAUUAUUUAGAUCACACGUUUAUAUGAAAAUUAAGGGGAGUCAAAAAGCUACAGAAAAAAAUAUAGAAAAAGAAAAAGUAAAAAUUAAUGCACUCCUAUGGCUCAUUCAUCUAAUUACUUGAUUAAUUGGUUACCAACCCGAUGGCCCAAGUAGUACAGUACUUGGUGACCCCUUAAGGUGAUUUCGUAUGGAAAAAUCGGUGUUUGAGAGAGUAUCGUCCCUUCUGGGCCGUUUAAAAAACUCGUCCAUACCUUUUUAUUAUGUAACUAUGAGUGGAGUUAGUAGCCACCUGAGCUGAAUAACCUGGGGCAAGUGACUCAGUAACCAUUUGUUUCACAUUCACUUUAUCGGUUUCAAACAAGAUAUAAUAAGAAUUGCAAAUAAUAAAUAAUAAAUUCUCAAGUCUUUAAAUUUUAUUGGUGAUAAAAUAGGAGUAGUAGAUUUUAUUUUAAACUAUUAAGUUUUGUCGUUUUGUACCUAUAUAAAGGCUCCUAGCAUUAAACCUAGGGCCAUCAUAUAUUCUACCUCUCUCCCUCAAUUCCUCNNNNNNNNNNNNNNNNNNUUCUUCUCCAUCUUCUUCUUUUCUUCUUCUUUUACUUAAUUGUUAUAAUUUUAUUAUAGCCAUGAGAGGCUAAAUAUUUAUUUUCAAUUGAAGGUUAAAUUAAAUUGAGGUUUGUUCAAGUUGUGAGGUUAUGCACUUCAAUUCUCUUCAUCUUAUUUCUAUUUUCUGUCAAUUUCUAAUUUCGAUUAAUUCCACCUUCAUUGUUGUUUUCUUUAGAAUUUGAGAGUCCUAUUGAAUCUCUUGGGAAAACAACUUUUAGCUAAUUAAUCUAAUUAAAAUCUAUAAUUGUUUAAUUGGGUUAAUAGCAAGUAGCAAUUAACAUAUUAGUUCAUGUUAAGAAAUUGGCAGAUUUAAUUUAAAUAAAUUACGUGUUUUUAUUGAUCAAGUUUGGGUUUUCUCUCUUAAUGCAGUUGAUUAAUUAAAUCUACACGCGUGUUGGGGUUGUUAGUUAACUUGGAAUUAAUUUAAGCGUGAAACGGAUUAAUUUAUUCAUAAGUAAGAAUUGGUGGGAUCCGCGUGUUUGACUACUAUAAUCAAACAAUAGAUAAUAAUAUGAAAUAUUUUUCUAACCAAUGAUCAUCUGCAAAAUACCUCAAUUUGAUUACCUUCAGCUGAAAGUUUUAACUAUUUAUUUGUUUCUCAAACUUCAAUUGCAUUGUUUAUUUUUUUUUCCUAUUAAGUUUAUUUUUAUUGGCUUGCCCAAGGCACAACCACAUUCAUAAAAAAAACUCUUUUCUUCUUACUUUUUCGUAUUAAACUAUUUCUCUAUUUCAAAUUGGUUAUUUAAAUUAAACAGAAUUGAGAUCUCUGUGGGAUCGAUACUCACUUACUCUACCUACAAGUUCUUAUCAAUUUAGAAAAGGGAAGUAAAUUUUAAAUUGACAGAUUCGACACCAGUCAGUUUGCUGUUAGGCACUAUGGUUCUGAUACCAUAUACGGAUUGUAUAGGAAUUUGAAAGAGAAAUUUCUAUUAACUCUAUAGCAAUUGUAUUUAUACGCAGUAUGAUGAGUAUAUUUGGUAUGCUUAUUUAUAAGGAUCGAUUAUAAUCAAUUAAUGAAAUUAAUAAAUGGAAAGAGUAUAAUAGUAGAUUGCUUAUUCAACACUCAAGCAUAUUAAAUAUAUAUAUAUAUAUUAUGAACCCAUUGGACUAAUUAAAAUUUCUAGUCGGUACAACACGGCAAUAAAAUCUCAACAAGUGUUGAAAAAUGCAACACUUAGUUGAUAACUAAGGUUUCCGUUGCGGGACUUAACUCAACACCUUAAGGCAUGAGUUGUCGACGGCCAUCUACCACCUGUGCCCGUGUUCCCAAAGGCACUCUUCUCUUUCAAGAGGAUUCGCGGUAUGUCAAGCCCUGGUAAGAUUCUUUGCUUUGCAUCAAAUUAAACCAUAUGCUCCACUGCUUGUGUGGGCCCCCGUCAAUUCCUUUGAGUUUCAUUCUUGUGAACGUACUCCCCAAGCGAGAUACUUAAUGCGUUAGCUACCGUACUGCACGAAUCGAUACGCACAGUGCCCAAUAUCCAUCGUUUACGGCUACGACUACUACAGUAUCUAAUCCCAUUCACUCCCCUAGCUUCCGUCUCUCAAUGUCAAUGUUGACCAUUGGUGUGCUUUAGCCAUUGGUGUUCUUUUAGAUCUCUAUGCAUUUUACUGCUCCAUCAGAAAUUCCCUCCACCCCUACUGUACUCUAGCUUGGCAAUUUCCACCGUCUGUCCAGGGUUGAGCCUUGGGAUUUGAUGGCAGACUUGAAAAGCCACAUACAGAUGCUUUACGCCCAACCAUUCUGGAUAACACUUGCAUCCUCUAUAUUACUACGGUUAUUGGCACAGAAUUAGUCGAUGCUUAUUUACUAGAUAUUGUCAUUGCUUCUUCUCCGAGAAAAGAAGUUCACGACACGUAGGCCUUCUACCUCCAUAUGACAUUGCUCUGUCAAGCUUUUGCCCAUUGCGAAAAUUCCAUACUGCUGCCUCCCGUAGGAGUCUGGGUUGUGUCUUAGUCCCGUGUUGCUAAUCAUCCUCUUGGACUAACUACUGAUCAUCGCUUUUGGUAAGCUAUUGCUUCACCAACUUGCUAAUCAGACGCAAGCCCCUCCUCGAAUGGAUUCCUCCUUUUGCUCCUCAGCCUAUAGGGUAUUAGCAGGCAUUUCCAACUGUUGCUUCCCUCCCAAGAGCAAGUUCUACUCACCCAUCCGCCACUGGAAACACUACUUCCCAUCCGACUUGCAUGUGUUAAACAUGUUACCAACGUUCAUCUUGAGCCAGGAUCAAACUUCCAUGAGAUUCUUAUGAAUGUAUAGCUGAAAAUCACUUAUCAAUAUUAAAUGAAAGUUUAUAGAGUGAACCCGUUGGACUAACUGGAAUUUCAAGUUAGUACAACCCGCUAAUUAAUCUCUAAGUGUUGAAAAAUGCAAUAGAUAGUUGACAUGAAAUUGGACAAUUUAUAUAAGUUAAAAUCACUUAGAUAUAUUAGAAGAGAAAUUAUGGAGUGAAUCUAUUGUUCUGUAUAGUUUAAAAUUACUCAAAGAGAAAUUAUAGAGUGAACCUAUUGAAUCAACUACAAUUUCUAGUUGGUAUAUAAGACUAAUAAAAUGUAUAGUUUGAAAGUGAUCACUCAUGCAUAUUGAUCAAACAUAAUUUAGCUACAUUUUUAUUAUCUUUAUUACUGCUUAAUUACACAUUUUUUAGCUUAAUUUAUGGAUUUUGUCAUGUUUUUACAGAAAAUGAAGAAAAUGCAAAGUUGGAGAAAAAGUGCAGAAAAAGCUGGAAAAGUGAUUGGGUCAGAGUGAUUUGGCCAAAUCACCCGCAGAAAUCAGAAGUAGGAAGCUAAGGCAGAAAUCUGGAGGCAACACACAGAAAUGAUUUGGGCAAGUGAUUUGCCCAAAUCACCCGCCCAAAUCACAUAGACGCAGAAGUUGACAGCAAAAGCGGGAAAAAUAGCAGAAAAUUAAAUUCAAAAAUAAUGAAGUCCAAAUCCACUUCAAACACUCCAAGAUUAGUCCCUUAAGCCACGAGGAGGUCUUUUCACUCAAAGAAUUCUACUCACAAUUAAAUACCAAAUCAAAAAGGGAAUCAAAGACUACAAAAGACCAAGUCAAGAUUGGGAUUUCAAAACCCUAAUUGGAUGAGGAUUCUCCUGCUAUAAAAGGGACAGCUUCCAAACCAGCAAAAUCAUCUCUCCCUCGUCGGAAUUCACUGCAGAUUUUCGACAGACUUCUCCUUCUUCUUUUCUUCUAUCUUUUUGUGUAAUUUUGUCCACCAUGAGUGGCUAAAUUCCAUCUUUUCUAGUUGAAAUUGGGGAAAUUCAUAUUUGUGAUGAAUUGGGAGAUUUAAAACUCCAUUAUUAAACUCCUAUUUGCUUUCAAUAUUUAUGCAACUUGAUCUUUCUAUAAUUAUUGCUUUGCUUUUGGAAUCAAUUUAGGCCUAUUGCUUUUAAUUGCUUGAGUAAUAUAUUGUUUGAAUGAUUUAAGUCCGUAAUUGCUUAGGUUGUUUAAACUCAAGUAUAAUAUUGCAUAAUCUAAACUUGACCACGCGAUUGGCAAGGUUAGAAUUAGGUUUCUCUAAGUCUUAAUGCAGUCAAUAGUUGUUCGAUGCUAAAAGCCCCAAGGACGUUCCUUGGCAACUCGUUGACUAGUGUUUGAUUAGCGAACAUUUCCUAAUCGAACUAGAACUAAGGAGAAAUUUGGUUGUGAGAAGCGUCUUCCACAACCAAAACUAAUUUAUUAAAUUAAAAUAGGAGUACUAAAUAAUCAAUGAUCAAUUCUAAACAAACUGAAAUUCAUCCAUGCUUCAACUAGAAUCCUUUUCCCAUUGAAAUUCUCAUUUAUUUAAGUUAUUGCUUUCUCUUGCUCUUUAGAUUUAAUUCAUCAAAACAAACCCCCCUCUUUUAUUUAUUUGUUAUUUAUUUGCCUUAGUCAUUAUUAAGAAGAUCUUUGAUGUCAAAUCCCUGUGGUUCGACCCUAUUACCACUAUCUACAAGUUAAUUGUUGAUUAUUUAAUAGGUUUUAUUUUUGACGGCUUUGACAACCGCUAUCAAAAAUUGGCGCCGUUGCCGGGGAUUUGAUCUAACUAACGUAUUUUCCUUUUAUGACCAGGACUGUUCUUUACGAUCCAGAAAUUGAACGCACUGCCAAAACCUUACAAGCAUGGCUACAGUAAGUAUGUCUUUUCUUUCUUCUCAAAUUUCUGAACUAACCUCUAUUGUGAGAAAUUAUGGUAUAGGUCAAGCUCAACAAGUUCAACAACUUCAGCGAAUUAGACCAUGUGGGAUUUGCACAUAUGUAGGACACCCAACUGAUCGAUGUCCUACACUUUAUGAGGAUUACCAGCAAGUACAUACCUUUGGAGGAUUCAAUAGCCAGCCAAGACAUGAUCCCUACCUUGAUACCUACAAUCCAUGUUGGAGGGACCACCCGAAUUAUGGCUAUGCAAGGGCUAACUACUACCAAAACUAUCAAGCCCAAGCAACACCUCAAAACUCUAACAUGCAACUUGAAGAGAUGGUGAGGACAUUGGAAAUUUCUGGGCAAAUUCUCCAACAGCAAGUGGAUCAAAUGGUCAACUCAGUGAAUGCACAUAUAUUGAGAAGAGAGGAAGAGGUUCAAGAUGUCAAGGCUGAUGAUGAAAGCUCCCAAGAAACAGAACGAGUUGCUGAGUCUGCUGCACAAAUCGCCACUGCACUUGAAGUUGAACCAGCUGUUGUCCAAACAGCACUUGUAGAAGCCUCUGCCAUCCAAGAGACAGCAAUACAUACUGCUGCUGCUGAAAAUAUUGCAGCACCUGCUGUAAAAAAUUCAGACUUUGUUGCUGUCCAAGCCGCUGAAGAUAGAGACAGCAACUACUGUCCAUUUGCUGAAACUGCCGAAAUUACACCAGAAAUUACAGAAUUUGCUGUUGUCCAAGUUGCUGAAAACAGAGACAGCAACUGCUGUCAAACUGCCAUAACCACUGAUGCCCGCAAAUCAGCACCAGUCGAAGUACCUGUUACAUCCCCUGCUGCUGUCCAUAAACCAGCAACUGCUGGAAGUGCCCCAACUGAACCAGAACCUGCUGAAAUUUCUGAAACAGACCAGCCCCUUGCUGAACCAGUACAACCCACUGCUGUGUUUGCCCAAACAACUGCUGAUAUGGCAGAAUACAAUAUGCAAGCUGUUGUAACCGAACCAGCCCAAAAACCAGAAAUUUUUACCAAAAAAAUUCCAGAACCAGCCCCCAAACAAACAACAAAGGCAGAACACUAUUCACCUGAACAGCCAGCAGAGAAGUAACAAGCAGAUUGUUGUUUGCCCAAACAGCAUGAGAGAGGAGAAUCCAGUACAACCAGAUUGCUAGCACAACUAAGUUGUUGUUUGCCCUCCCAAACUGAGAUAAACCCAAGGCAGAAUGCUAGUGCCAUCACAUUGAGGAGUGGAAAAGAGCUGCAAGACAACAGGGCUGAGCAAAAGCAAAAACAGGUCACAGAGGAAAAUCUGCCAGAAAGUGAUCAGGGUCAUCGAUCUGCCCAAAUCACAGACCUAAUCGAUGGACAGACAGUACUGCCCAGCAGUGGUGAUUUGCCCAAAUCACUAAAGAAGGCAGAAAUUGAUCUGCCCAAAUCAACAGAUCAGGCAGAGUCCAGUCAAAGGUAGAAACAGCAACCAGCAGAAAAAUUCAAGGUACCUCCUCCCUUCCCCAAAAGAUUUGCAAGAUCUCAAAAAGAAAAAGAGGAAAAAGAAAUACUUGAGACACUUCGCAAGGUGGAAAUCAACAUAGCUCUACUUGAUGCUGUCAAACAAAUACCAAGGUAUGCUAAAUUUCUCAAAGAGCUAUGCACCAAUAGAAGGAAACUUGCUGAACAUGAAAAGGUAAGUGUGGGGGAGUGUGUCUCAGCUGUCAUUCAAAGGAAGCUUCCAACCAAAUGUAAGGUGUAACGAUCCGGAAACCGAACUGCUACCGGUGCUAGGAUCCAGAUCGACUUAAGGCCGCCGGGACCCAUAGCAAGCCUGCUAUACACUCUGUACAUCUGGUAUAAUCCCAUACAUGAUCAACAUUUUCCAUAAAACUCUGAACUUUGCAUUUCAUUUUAAAACUUUUCUCUAUAUACCAGGCUUAACCUAAUCAUGCUCUGAAAACUUCUCUGUAAGUCCGAUGUGGGAUACCUUGAUCCCUGAGCGUCAUCGCUCAACACACCGUACUCCUGAGACAAACCCCUUACUGGAACCCUCAUAAAAUGCUGCAGUUGGGUUAACAUACAAUACGUUAAGCCCGGACCAAGCUUGACCUGUGCAUGCACUAUCUCUGUGAUCUCUGGGAUCAUCAACCCACAUACUAGAUGGGCAACAUUACAUAUCAAGCUUGGUUCUCAUAAAACAUCAUAAAACAUAAAAAGAUCCAUGUACAAAGGGAUUAUCCAAACACUAGGGCCAAGCACAAUACUAUAACACUGAAUACAUUACAUGCCAUAACAUGUCUGUACAUCACUUUACAAUACAUCAUGUCCACUACCUUUCUAUUACACUGAGACAUACCCAUAGCCAUAACCAUAGCCAUGCUCUACUCUUGCUGACUCUGACUUUCCCAUAGCUAACUCUGGCCCUGAAAACAUGGGGUUAAGGGAAUGGGGUGAGCUAUAAAGCCUAGUGAGCAGAACUAUAAAAACAUUAAAACAUAUGCCAUCAUGGAAUGCAUCACAUCACAGUAAAUCACAUCAAGGAUGGACUGACUCAAAACUCCCUCUACUCUGUGCCCGGCCCUCGAAGGAGCUCCUCAGGACUUCUGUUACAUACAUAGCUCUGUGCCCAGCCUUCAAGAGGCUCCUCAGGACUUCUGUUACAUGCAAUACUAGAGGGCUAAUGAGUCAUCCUGUUGUCCAUCCACAUGUACAAUAACCAAUGCAAUGCGUCAUCUUCGUGAACACUAAUGCAAUCAACCUAUAGACAUGGCAUUCGUGAUACAUGGAACAUGCUAAAACAUUCAUUCAUUGAAAAACAUAGGUUAGUUCCACUCACCUCUAGCAACUGCUGGGCUAACUCUGGACUCACUCUGAAGCAGCUAACACUGCUAAACACCUCGAUUCCUCAGGUCCGAUCCUACACAGGUGGACUCAAAUGAGGGACCAAACAACUCUAUCAUAGCUCUUAACAUUCCCCCAUAAACCCCCUAAAACACCUCAAGCAUGCAUGGAAAAACAAGCAAAAAAAGGCUGGACAGGGCACCUUCGGCGGCUGAACCCCCUCUCCAGAUCCGAAAGGCAGGCACUUUCGGCGGCACCUUCGGCAGCCGAACCCCCUCUCCAGAUCCGAAAGUCAGGCAUCUUCAGCGGCCGAACCUUCCUUCGACGGCCGAAAGUCUGCUUUAAAGCCAAAACUCAACUUUCGGGGGCAAGGUUAGGCGGCCAAACCAUGUAUCCACAGGCAGCUUACCUUCGGCGGCCGAACCUGAGUUCGUCAAGAACUCAGCCUCUCAUGCAUACAAGCCUCUCAAACCUUCCAAACACCCAAAAUAGGCAUCCAACCUCUCCAAAACAUGCAAACACCCUUAUCCAUGCAUCUCAGAGCUUAACACAAGCUUAAACUCCCACAAACAUCAUCAUAAAGCAUACAUAGGCAUAAAGGGUACAUAAACCCUAUCAUGCACAACCAUGCAAAACCAUGCAAUCCUAACCCUUUUUCCUUCAUAAAACUCACUUAAAACACCAUGAAAGCCAAGGAUCUACACUUACCUCUUGAAGAUCAAGAGUUGGUGUGACCCGAACUUGAAGAUCUGGAGAUCCAAGCUCCAAAAGUCUCCAAGCUCCACCUCCUUGCUCCAAGCUCACAACUCUUCAAAACAAGGAGAAAACUCAUGAAAACCUUGAAGGAUUUGAAGAAAAACCAUAAAACAACCCAAGGAGAGCAUGAACUCACCUUAGCCCAAGAAAGGAGAGAAAACUCCCCCUUUUUUCGGACAAGGGGCCUUUUAUAGGCGGCUUGGUCAAUCAUUUCCGGCAGCCAAACCUGCAUGCAAACCUCCACCACGUUCGGCGGCCGAACUUCACUUUCAGCGGCCGAACCUGGCCAAUGCCUCCUUGGUCUUUUCUCUUCAAAACUCAAAUCCUUUGCAUUCAAAACCAUAAAACACUUAAAAACCAUUUAGAAAACCUUUCUCUUUUACCCUUCUAGGAACCUCUGACAUCCUCGAAUUCCAUAUUCCAACGAAAAUCCCGCCGGAAAGUAAGAAUUCUGAUGUCGGCGUCUAGCCGGGUAUUACAUAAGGAUAGAGGAAUGUUUGCCAUUUCAUGCAAAAUAGGCAACAUAGGGAUAAAGAAGGCCAUGUGUGACCUUAGGGCUUCAAUUAAUGUCAUGCUCCUUUCCAUCUUUAACUUGUUAAAUGUAGGUACACUCAAGGCAACCAGCAUAGUAAUCCAAUUGGCCGACCGAUCUAUUGUCUACCCCAAAGGAGUCCUAGAAGAUGUGUUGGUACAAGUGGACCAACUAGUCUUCCCAGCUGAUUUUUAUGUCAUUGACAUGGAGGAGGAUAAGGGCAACAUCACCUCUGACAUCCUACUUGGGAGACCAUUCUUGAGCACAGCCAGAACAAAAAUAGAUGUGCAUGAUGGCACAUUAACCAUGGAGUUUGAAGGGGAAGUUAUCAAGUUUAACGUUUAUGAUGCCAUGAAAUUCCCCAAUGAUGUUUCUCUUGUUUAUGGUCUUGAUGUAAUUGAUGAUUUAAGUCAAGAAAUCUUUGAUUUUGAUCUAGAUGACUCACUCAAUGCUGAUUUAUGCAGAUCUGAAGAAAUGGACAGCAGCAGUAGCAGCACCGAAAAAGAGACAGUAUACUGUUCACUGCUGGUUGCGGGUGAUCUGCCCAAAUCACCAAUACAGGCAGAUCCCGACUUGUCCAAAUCACUGGAGCAGACAGACAUGACAGAGAGUAAUCUGCCCAAAUCACCAGACCCAGCACCAGAAAAUCUGCCCAAAUCAGUAAGCAGACAGCAAGCAGUAUCACAGACAGCAGACCUGAAAACUCUGCCCGAACACCUCAAAUAUGCCUAUUUGGGGGCUGGAAAUACACUUCCAGUCAUAGUAUCCAAUCAACUCAGCCAGCAAGAAGAGAAAAAACUCCUAAAGGUGUUGAGGAAACACAAGAAAACAAUUGGGUGGACCUUGGAGGACAUAAAAGGCACCUCAAGACCAUUCAGUGGAGGCUCAUCUCACCAGAAUCGAAGACAGGAUGCAACACCUGCUACAACUGCUGGUGGACAAUUUUCUGCACGCAGACCAUCAUCACCAGUGAUUUGCCCAAAUCACUUAACCAAAUCACCCACUGGCCAGGAAGUCCCUUUCUCUCUUCUUUUACUUUAUAUGUUUUACAUUGAGGACAAUGUUUGCAAUAGGUGUGGGGGUACUGCUAGGUUAUUUUUGCAUUGAUUACAUUAUCUUUUGCUUUUUUUUUGUUUCUUCUUGCAUCUUUUUGCCCUAUAACACACACCAAAAUUUUUUUUCCCUUUCACACAUUUUUCUUUUGCAAAAAUUUCUCACUUUCUGCACACACACAUAAUUUUGUCUUAGCCCCUUGCUCUACUCAGCAUAGAUAACAAAGUUGAAAUAGCUCCCUAUCUCAUGACCCCAUUAAAUUUUCUAACCCUUUAAACCUAAAUUGAGCCAUUUACAGUGUGUUACCUUUACUUAGGGAGUUCUUUCUCUUGAAUUGAAUCUUUAAAUCUGUUGUGGCCAAUAGGAAAGGAAAAUAAAAAUACAUGCAAUAAAAAGUUAGUGUAACUCUUUAUGAGUUGAUUUGCCCAAAUUGUUAUGAAAAGGAAAAAGAAAAAGAAAAACUCAGCAAAUCAAAAAGCACAAAACACAACCUGUUUCGAUGGUUUAAGACUAUGAACAGAGCUAGUAGCCACUUGGACAAGUGACCAACUGAGUAACCGGGGGUGUGUAUCACCAAUAUGUACCUUCGCAUAAAAAGGUUGGUAACUUUUUCAGGCAAGAAUAAAAAGUGCUGCUGAAUAAAAAAAGCUUAAAAGGGGGCAAGUCACUCUUAGGAGUUGCAUUAAACCUAAUAUAAAAAAAUAAGCAUGAUCAAAUAAAAAACUUUCCCUUGGCCAUGGUAGGUGAUGGGAAACAAGGAAAGAGGGGACAACCUUAGUACAUGUAUCCUACACUGUGCUGUUUCAACUUAGGAAUCUAGAGGGGGCUGAUUAAGUGGUACUUAGGCUCAAAAGAAAAAGAAGCUUGAUUGACUAAGUUAUUUAUUGCUUGAGGACAAGCAAAAAGGUAGGUGUUGGGGUAUUUGAUCAAACAUAAUUUAGCCACAUUUUUAUUAUCUUUAUUACUGCUUAAUUACACAUUUUCCAGCUUAAUUUAUGGAUUUUGUCAUGUUUUUAUAGAAAAGGAAGAAAAUGGAAAAUUGGAGAAAAAGUGCUGAAAAAGCUGGAAAAGUGAUUGGGUCAGAGUGAUUUGGCCAAAUCACACACAGAAAUCAGAAGCAGGAAGCUAAGGCAGAAAUCUGGAGGCAAUACACAGAAACGAUUUGGGCAAGUGAUUUGCCCAAAUCACCCGCCCAAAUCACAUAGACGCAGAAGUUGACAGCAGAAGCGGGAAAAACAGCAGAAAAUUAAAUUCAAAAAUAAUGAAGUCCAAAUCCACUUCAAACACUCCAAGAUCAGUCCCUUAAGCCACGAGGAUGUCUUUUCACUCAAAGAAUUCUACUCACAAUUAAAUACCAAAUUAAAAGGGGAAUCAAAGACUACAAAAGACCAAGUCAAGAUUGGGAUUUCAAAACCCUAAUUGGAUGAGGAUUCUCCAGCUAUAAAAGGGACAGCUUCCAAACCAGCAAAAUCAUCUCUCCCUCGUCGGAAUUCACUGCAGAUUUUCGGCAGACUUCUCCUUCUUCUUUUCUUCUAUCUUUUUGUGUAAUUUUGUCCACCAUGAGUGGCUAAAUUCAUCUUUUCUAGUUGAAAUUGGAAAAAUUCAUAUUUGUGAUGAAUUGGGAGAUUUAAAACUCCAUUAUUAAACUCCUAUUUGCUUUCAAUAUUUAUGCAACUUGAUCUUUCUAUAAUUAUUGCUUUGCUUUUGGAAUCAAUUUAGGCCUAUUAUUUUUAAUUGCUUGAGUAAUAUAUUGUUUGAAUGAUUAAAGUCCGUAAUUGUUUAGGUUGUUUAAACUCAAGUAUAAUCGGUUGCAUAAUCUAAACUUGACCACGCGGUUGGCAAGGUUAGAAUUAGGUUUCUCUAAGUCUUAAUGCAGUCAACAGUUGUUCGAUGCUAAAAGCCCCAAGGACGUUCCUUGGCAACUCGUUGACUAGUGUUUGAUUAGCGAACGUUUCCUAAUCGAACUAGAACUAAGGAGGAAUUUGGUUGUGAGAAGCGUCUUUGUAACGACCCGAAAACCAGACCGCUACCGGCGCUAGGAUCCAGAUCGGCAUAAGGCCGCCGGGACCCGUAGCAAGCCUAACAUAUAUCCCGUAUACCUGAUAAAUCCCAUACAUGAUCAAAUAUAUACAUUAAAUUUAAACUUUUUCUUUCAUUUUCCAAGCUUAACCUGUGCAUGCACAAACUCAUCAUCAUAAAACCUCACACUGGAGCCCUCAUCAAAUGCUCCAAUGGGGUAACAUAUCAUACAAUAAGCUUGGUUUACAUAAACAUCAUUAAAAUGUUUCAUUAAAAAGAUCAUGUAUCUAAAAGGGAUUAACAUACACUAGGACCAAGCACAAUUCUAUCCUCAAUACAAUUCUUGACAUUACAUCACAUUAUAACAUUUUACAAUACAUGUCCACAUCUAACUAUUACAUAAAACAUUACUUCUUUACUCUUGUUGACAUCUUGGCCUAUCCCGUACCUGCAAACCUGGGGUUUAAGGGAAUGGAGUGAGCUACUAGAGCCCAGUGAGCAGAAUAGUAAAAACAUUUAAAACAUAUGCUAUCAUGGAAUGCAUCACAUCACAGACAAAUCACAUCAAGGAUGAACUUGUCACCAAUAGCCCUCUACACAUUCCAAUCGUGCCAGGGGCGUAGCAUAGGCCUCACUGGUCUUUCUCUUAACAUAGUAUAACCUAACAUAACAUUCCAACGUGCCAGGGGCAUAGCAUGGGCGUCACUGGUCUUUCUCUUACAUCAUGCCAGGGGCGUAGAAUGGGCCUCACUGGUUUUACAUACCAUACCAUAUCAUAUCAUAACAUCAUCAUAUCAUAUCAUACUAGGGCUAAUGGAUCACUCAAUGUUCAUCCACAUCAACAACAUAAUAUGCAAUGCAACAUAUUCGUGAAUUCUAAUGCAAACAACCUAAUAUAUCUCAUGGCAUUCAUGAUGCGUGAAUCAUGCUAAAACUUUCAUUAUUAGCUUUGAAACAUAAAGAGUCAUUCUACUCACCUCUAGCUGACGCUUACUAAUUCUGCAACCGCUAACACUGCUGGCCUCCUCGGUCCCUCGAGUCCGAUCCUACACAGGUGGACUCGAAUGAGGUGCCAAACACACUCUAAACCACUCAUAAACAACUCCCCAAAAACUUCCUAAAACAACCUCAAAAUAUGCAUAGAAAACAACCAUGAAAAGGCUGGACAGGGCACUUUCGGCGGCCGAAGGUCCCUUUCAGAACCGAAAGCCAUGCAUGUUCGGGGGCACUUUCGGCGGCCGAAAGUCCUUUCAGAGCCGAAAGUCUGGCACCUUCGGCGGCAGGUUCGGCGGUCGAAGCUUCUCACAGAUCCGAAAGUCCUGGCCUUUGGGGGCACGUUAGGCAGCCAAAGCUGCCUACCAUGCAGGUUCGACGGCUGAACAUACCUUCGGCGGCCGAACCUGGUUCCCUCCGAACAGCAGGUCCGAAUCUGUCACAAGCAAAACCAACCCCGAAACAACCCGAAACCUCACAUACUCUUUCCCAAACAUGCAUACACACUCCCACAUGAAUAUAGGGGCAUAAACUAACUUAAACCCCAACACAAACAUCAUAUAAACAUACAUUGGGCAUAAAACCCACAUAAACCCUAACAUGCACAUCUACCCACACAAGUAUCAAAACUCCUUAAAACUUACUUAAAACAAAGAAAAGGGUGUGGAUCUACACUUACCUCUUGAAGAUCGAGGGUUGGUGCGAUCCCUAACUUGGAGAUAGGAGGAAACAACUCUUUGGGUCUCCAAGCUCCCAAAACUUGAUCAAAGCUUAGAACUCUUCAAAACAAAGACACAACUCAUGAAAACUUGAGGGAUUUGAAGAAAAAGCAUGAAAACAACCAAGGGAGGACAUGAACUCACCCUAGCUCAAGAAUGGAGAGAAAACUCGCCCAUUUUCAAUCUAAGGGCCUUUUAUAGGUGGCCGGCCAAACCUCCUUCGGCGGCCGAACUUGGGAUUCGGCUGCCGAAAGAAAGCCAUUUUCGGAAGCCUAACGUGCCUCCUAAACAGCCCCAUGUUCGGCGGCCGAACUUGAGGUUCGGCGGCCGAACCUGGUUUCUUCCCUCAAAGCUUUCGGAGGCCUAAAGCACUCCCGAAGCAGCCCCAUGUUCGGCGGCCGAACCUGGGUCCUUCCUCCUUGGCCUAUUCUUCUCAAAACUCAUUUCUUUUCCAAUUAAAAUCAUAAAAUCAUGUGAAAACAUUUUUAGAAACACAUUUUACCCCUCUAGAAGACUAUGGCAUCUUCAAAAUUCCAGAUUCCAACGGAGAUUCCGCCGGAAGGUAGGGAUUCUGAUGCUGGAAUCUAGCCGGGUAUUACAUCCACAACCAAAACUAAUUUAUUGAAUUAAAAUAGGAGUACUAAAUAAUCAAUGAUCAAUUCUAAACAAACUGAAAUUCAUCUAUGCUUCAACUAGAAUCCUUUUCCCAUUGAAAUUCUCAUUUAUUUAAAUUAUUGCUUUCUCUUGCUCUUUAGAUUUAAUUCAUCAAAACAAACCCCCUCUUUUAUUUAUUUGUUAUUUAUUUGCCUUAGUCGUUAUUACGAAGAUCUUUGGUAUCAAAUCCAUGUGGUUCGACCCUAUUAUCACUAUCUACAAGUUAAUUGUUGAUUGUUUAAUAGGUUUUAUUUUUUACGGCUUCGACAACCGCUAUCACAUAUUAAACGAGAAAUCAUAGAGGGAACCUAUUAGACCAAAGAAAAUUUCUACUUGGUAUAAUAGGCUAAUAAAAUCUCAGUAAGUACUAAAAAAUAUAGUAGACAGUUGAUAAGUAAUGAAGUUGGACAGUUUUUUAUAGUUGAAAACCACUCAUGCAUAUAUUAAAGGAGAAAUUAUGGAGUGAACCCAUUGGACCAACUAGAUUUUCUAAUUGAAAAUUGCUGUAGGUAGUUGAUAACUAAAGAAGUUGACAGUUCUGUAUAGUUGAAGAUCACUCUCAUGCAUAUUAAAUGAGAAAUUAUAGAAUAACCCAUUGAGCCUAUUAGAAUUUUUAGUUGGUACAAUAGGCUAAUAAAAUCUCAAAAAGCGUUGAAAAAUACAGUAAAUAGUGGAUAAGUAAUCACGUUAGACAAUUUUCUAUAGUUGAAAAUUACUCAUGCAUGUUAAACGAGAAAUUAUAAAUUGAACCCAUUGGAUCAAUUAGAAUUUCUAAUUGGUUCAACAGGCUAAUAAAAUCUCAGUUGAUAAAUAAUAAAGUUAGACAAUUUUUUAUAGUUGAAAAUCAAUCAUGCAUAUUAGACAAUAAAUUAUAGAGUGAAAUUAUUGGACGAACUAGAAUUUCUAGUCAAUACAACAGGCUAAUUAAAUCUGAAAAAUGCAAUUAAAAAAAUCUAAUAUUAAUAUGCUUAAAUUUAUGCCGUUUGAAAUUUUACACAUUUAUUCAUAUAAUUUUUAAAUUGCAUCUACCUAUUUUGACUGAUUUUUAUUAAUUUUAUUAGAAUUUUAUGUUUAAAUUAUGAUUUUUAGUUUUAGUCUAUUACUUUGAUGUUUUUACCUUAUUUAUAGUAUUUUUACACGUCAAAAUAAAUUAAGGAAUAAAUGAGACAUUUUGAAGAGAAAUCUAAUAAAAUUUAGAGAGGUUCUGAAAAAAUAAACAAAAAUAUGACUGUCUUGUGUUUUUGUCUCUUUCCCAUAUUUUUGCACUCUGCCCUCUCUGGACUAAAAAUUUAUGAGAGUGAAUCACCUGUGUUUUCAUGGUUAUCCCGUGUUUCGCUCUUUUUUUAUGUGCUCAGCCCCAUAUUUUUAUCAGAAAUCUUAAUUCUCUAGGUUUUUCAUUAGAGUCACAAAUUAGAAGUCUCAAUAGGGCAUAAAUACAUUAUAAUGGGGAGACCAAAGGACUUUUUGCCCACUUUUAAACACAUAUAUAUGGCAGAAAUAGAGAAAAACUCAAAGAAGAAGAUUGGGGAGAUCUAGAAAGAGAAAUUCAUUUAGAUUUUUUUAUUUCUUCUCUUAUUUUUUGAUUUAUUAUUCACAAUUAUUUUAGUUUAUUGUUGAAUCUUUAGACAUUGAGCAACUAAAUUCUUUUACUAGGAACUUGAUGUAUCUUGAAUUAUUUAUUCUCUUUAAUUUAUUUGAAUUGAUUUUCUUUAUCAAUUUAUUGUUCAAUUCUUGAGAUUAAUGCUUUUAAGUUACUACGGAAUCCUUGGAUAAUUUUAUCCUAAGAUUUAUACGGGAAGAGAAAGUUUUAAGACUGAAUUGAGAAUUGAAUAUAACAUGAAUACUAAUUGGAUUGAGAAUGAAGAUUUGACUUGUGGAGUCUUAGAUAAAAUAAUUGCAGAAUUUGUAACAUUAAUUAAAGAAUUAUCAUAUUAGUAGGAGAUAGGUGAUAAUCUUUAGUUAAUUAAUUUAGUAGGAUUAAUUACCUUAGAAAUAUUUGCUCCAGAUUUAAUAAUUAAAAUUGGAUUGUUAACUAAAUGAAUUGGUCCAAAUGAAAUCAAGGUAUCCUAAUAUUUAAUAUAAAUUGAUUCUAUCUUGUUGAGUGUUUAGUUUUAUUUUCUUAUUUUAUUUUAAAUUUAUAAUUAUCCUUCACAAUUGAUAGUCAAAAUAAUAAUUAGAUUUAUAAAUAUUUUAGUACUUAAUUUCCAAUACCUGAUACAUCAUAUACUCUACCCUUUUUAUCACUUAAUACAAUUCUAUAUAUUUGUGGAUAUGGGAAGUGUAUAGCCUAUAAAUAUAGUUAUGCCAAAUGACACAUCUAAAUUUGUGUAUUUGUGCUAAUGACACACUUACUAUAUUUUAUUUUUAUAUUUAAUACUGUUACUAAUUAAUAUACUCAUAAUAAAUACAAUUUAUUAUCUUUAUUAUUAUAAUUUAUAUAUGACUUUUAAAUUUCCUUUUAUCAGACUUUUUAAAUUUUUAUAAUUUUUUAAUAUAAUAUAUUAAUAUAAAUAUCUAUCUUUCCAACUAUAAAAUGUGAAAAAUGACAUAUUAUAAACGUGUAAUACUUUUUUUUCAAUUAUAUUUCUAUCAUUAAUAAAUAAUAAAUUUAUAUAUAUAUAUAAUUAGACUCUAAAAUAGAUUGAUGAGAGAUUGACCAGUAUCACUAUUAAACUUACAUAAAAGAGAUUUACAAGUAAUAUAAUUAAUCUUAUGUGGCAAAAAUAUAUUUAUAAUUUUAUAUAUUUUUAAUUUUUUAUAUAAAAUAAUAAUUACCGUAUAUGUAAUAAAUAUAAUUUAUUAUUUUUUUAAAUACUAUCCAUGUAUGAUCUUUUAAUUUUCUACUAUUUCUAAUAUAAUAAAUAUAAUAAAAUUAGAAAAUAUAAUUUUUAUUAUACUUAUUAUUAUUAUUAUAUAACCUUUUGAUAUCCUACUACUUUUUAGUAUAUUAUAUUAUUAAUAUUGUAAUAAAAAUUUUAUUGCAUUUUUAUUAUUAAAAAAAUUUAUUGUAUUUUUAUUAUUAAAAAAUUUUAUUAUAUUUUUAUUUUAAUAAUAAAUAAAAUAUUAAAUAUAUAUUUAUAAAAAUCGAGUAUGUACCUAUAAAAAAAUGUUUGGACAAUUAAAAAUAAUUACUUUUACCAUAUAGUAAUAAUUUUAUAAUAAAAUACUAUAUAAAAAAUUUUUACCAUCUCACAAUAUUGUUUGUUUAUUUGAUAAUUUUAUAAAAUCAUAACUAAUAUAAUUUAAUUUUAAAUACUAUAUGAUGAGAAUAAUUACAUAAAAUAAAUAUAUAUAAUAAAUUAAAAAUAUUAUAAAAAAAUAUUAAUCGUGAUAAAAAUAUAAAAUAAUUAAAAAAUUAAUAGAUUUGUAUAAAAUAUUAUCAAAUUCAAAUUUUAUUAAUUCAAAUAACUAUAUAAAAGGUUAAUAAAUAUAAAUAAUUAAAGUAUAAUAAAAAAUAAAAUUGUGAUUCAAAUAUUUUAAAUCAAUUGUUAUAAAUAUUAAAUAAUCAAAUUAUUAAACUUAAAUUACUAUAAUUUAUUAUAUUAAUGAUUGUGAUAAUUUUAGUCUAUUAACUUUUUACAAAAUUAUAAAUUUCAUUAUCCAUUCUAUAUAACUCCCGUCAGUACGAUCUCUAUUUCAUAUAUUUUUCACUGAAUUCCCUUUCCUCUAUUUCCAUAUAUGACUAUGUUUUGAAAAAAAUUUUUUUUAUUAUUUUCUUAGCGUCUAACACGAGAUACAUGCUUACACUAUCCAAAACUGUCAACUCAACUCUCUUGCCUAAAUUGAAAUUAGAUGAUGAAUUAUCUAAAUAUUUUGGAGAGAUCAUCCUAUUCUUUUUUUAAUUAUAAAAUAUAUCUAUACCAUAAUUAUUGAGCCAACUCAACCUUCUUGCUUAGAUUGAAAUUAGACGAUGAGUCAUCUAAUUGUUUUGGAGAGAUCAUUCUAUUCUUUUUUUUAAUUGUGAAAUAUAUAUCUAUACUAUAAUUAUUGUGAAAUCAUUUCUACUAUUACAAAAUAUUAUUUGCCUAACAUGAUUGAUAUAAUAGAUUUUACCACUCAAGAAAUUGACAUACUUAAUGGGUAUUGUACUAAAACAGAUGAUUCCUCUCCACCACCAGUACCACAAUUGUCAUCCACCAUCGUUGGAGCUUAAUAAACUUUAUUUUUUUAAAAAAAUAUAAUUUUCUUGAAUAUAAUUUAUUAUUAUAUAUUAAUAAUAUAUGAUAAUAAGUACUAAAAUAUUUAAUUUUCUUUGCUGUAAUCGAGUUUGAUGGUGCAUGGAUUUGCACUUAAUUAUUAUUUUGAGUUUAAAAUUUUAGAGAAAAUGUUAUUAAUCGAACGUAAUUUCGACACCUUUUUUCAUAUUAUUCUUAGCACUUAAUUAAGUAUUUUUAUAGUUAAAUUUGUAUUUUUGGCCAUGUUUCACAGAAAAGCAAAAAGAAAAGAAAAUUUGAUGAAAAGUAGCUUAAAAGCACCGAUUAUAUUGCACAGGAACUAUCCAUACCUGCAGGCUAAGUAAAAUAUUUUCUAACAGUGAUUUGCCCAAAUGAUUUGCCCAAACCAACUGGGCAAAUCGAUAGAUUGUACAGAAUCAAACAGUGAGUGGAAAAAAUCUAGAUUUGAAAAUAAAAAGACCUGGUCUUCUCAUUAAAAGCUGCGGAACCUGUGCGAAUUCUUUUCCAUCAAUGCGGCAACAAGUCUUUCUCAAAUUAAGGAGUUCUAUUUUUGAAGAAACGCAUUAAAGGAAGGAUUACUAAUCCAAAUCAAAGAAGAAUUUCUAUUUCCAAAAGGAUUUAGGGUUAAACACUGUGGGCAGCGGCAAAUCAGAUCUCUCCUCACUAGCACCGUUCCUUCAUCUUCUCUUUUCUCUUUAGUAUUUUCUUUCAAACCAUGAGUGGCUAAACUCUUUAUUUCUAAUUGAAGUUAGGGUGAAAUUUCAGUUUAUACAUGAAUUGAGAGAUCUAAACUCAAUUAUUCAUCUUUUAUUCUUCAAUAUUUAUGUAAAUUUUGUUCAUAUUAUUAUUGUAUUAUUAUUUAGGACUCGUUGUUCUUAAUUUCAAAAUAAUAUAUUAUUAGUUUGAAUGCUUGAAAUCCAUAAUUGCUUAGGUUAUUCAAACACAAGUAAUAAUUAGUGUAACAACUAAAAAGUUACAUAAUCUAACUCAAAAUCACCAUGUGACUGGUCAAUUAGAAUUAGGUCUCUCUAGUACUUAAACUAGUUGAUAAAUUAAAAUCUUAUAUAAGUUUUUUGGGUGAUUUGUUGGCUAGGAGUUAAUUAGCGAACGUUUUUUAAUUAAUUUAAAAUAUAAGAAGAGAUUGGUUACGCGGAACAUCUUCCAUAACUAUAAUUAUAAAAGUAUUUUUAUAUCAAUACUCAAUUUCCAAACUGAAUGGAUCCUACACUUCAAUUAGAACUUGUUUAUAUUGAUUUAUUUCUCUUUUAAUUAUUGCUUUCUCUAAUUGCUUUAAUUUUUAUUUUUAUCCAUUAUCAAAAUCCUUUUUUUUUUUAUUAUUAUUUAUUUUUCCUAGUCAUUAUUUCAAAAUUCUUAAUAUCAAUUCUUUAUAGAUUCGAUUCUAUUAUUUGAAAAUUCUUAAUGUCAAUUUCUUAUAGAUUCGAUCCUAUUAUCAUUAUAUGUAAUUCAUAUUUGUUGAUAUUUAAUAGAUUUUUUUUUAUUUCGACACCUAUCAAUUAUGCUUCUCUUAGUAGACCUCCUAAAUUUAUACGAAAAGAAAUAUUAUUUUAUAAAAUACAUUAUAUAAUAAUAAUAUACAAAAAUGUAAUAUCCGUGCAACGAAUAUACGAGUAAAUGACUAAUCCACCUUAUAAUUUCACCUUUGAGUCUCCUUUUCACUUCAAUUUGACGAGACCCUUAAUCACUCAAGUUAUAUGAACUAUGAAUUUCUCUGCCUCAGCUUGAGAGACUUUAAUGUUGUGUUUGGAUGAGAGCAAAAUCAAAGAUGACAAGUGUUCCAGCACAACGCUGCCAACCCGUCUUCCAUGAACAUAUGAAACAUCUUUAGAUUAAUUGCCAUAUACUCUGCAACCGAUUAACCAAGGGUUUUAUCUCUAUUCAACAUAUAUCCUCCCAAAAAUAAGCUGGUGGCACUCUUCAUAAAACUGCUUGGAGCAUCAGUGUUUCACAAUAUUUUGACCAAGAUGAGACUCCCAGCUUCUGCCCCAUCUUCAUCUUGUAUAGUAUUCAUUCCUUAGGGAGAGCUUGUAAAGCUGUUAUGUAGCUGGAAUUUUAUUUAGCAAAAUGGUCAAAUUGGACUGACUUUUUUUUUUAUUUAAACUUUUUCUUUUUGAAUUAAUUUUCUCCUAUUUAUAGGACUACCUGCACGCAGCUCAGAACGAGUACUUUAAUACUAUUACGUCUACUCGUCUCUUCUUACAAACGCAAACAUGGCCCUUCAAGCUGCCACCCAAAGAGCUCAAGUUCGCCGAACAGCACAGUUUCAUCCAACGGUCUGGGGCGACUACUUCAUCAAGCAUGUAUCUGAUAAUGAGGUAAUGAAGGCAAAGAAGUUAUAGGAUGUAAAUCUCGCAAGAAAUGAACAAUUUCUAAUGUAUAACGUUUUAAUGUCUUUUCAUAGAUGCUAAGUGUUUGGACUGAAGAAGCCAAGGUUCUGAAAGAAGAAGUGAGGAGGAUGCUUGUUACAUCUGUUACUGGUUAUAAACCUUCAGAAAAACUGUACCUGGUAGAUGCUAUACAACGACUUGGGAUCUCUUACCAUUUUGAACGAGAAAUAGAAGAAGCACUGAAACAAAUUUUUCAAGAUUUUGAAGAUGAAGAUGUAAACCUCGGCAUUGUCGCUCUUCGAUUUCGCCUUCUAAGACAACAAGGCUAUAAUGUUUCAUCUGGUAAGUCCCUUUUAAGAAAUCCCCAGAUCCAUUUGUAAAUUAAGAAGCAAAUAUUCUACACCAUUUACUCAUUCUCAGGCUGCUCUUUUUGUGGGUUGAUCAGACGUUUUCAACAAGUUCAAGGAUGGAGAAGGCAACUUCAAGGAAGAUUUAAUCAGUGAUGUGCAGGGCUUGUUGAGCUUGUAUGAAGCUUCCUAUCUCAGCGUGCAAGGAGAAGAUAUUCUAGAUGAAACUCUUGAAUUCACCAAAACUCACCUAACAAAGGCAACCCAAUUUGGUUCUCCUCUUGCUGACCAAGUUAGCUAUGCUUUAAGGUGGCCUACACGCAGAGGGUUACCAAGGAAAGAGUCAAGGGAUUACUUCUC
rnacentral:lncRNA from 1 species